AGUAAAACCAAUUCAAACCCGAAAACAGAGUCAGAACAUCAUAGUUCAAUGAAUCAAAGCAUAAAUGAAAGAAGCAUCGAUUAUAAGAGAUGAAACCUGAAACAUGAAGAGUGUUUGGGGAUGAAGAUGUUACAAGUGGAAGUGUUAGUAUGAGAAACAAAAGAAGACGAGUUCCAAAACUCAUCUCAGUUUUGUUUAAGAGGUAUGUAUAUGUAUGUAUGAGUCGUAUAUAUUUAUAGAAAUGAUGAUUCAAAAUCGAUUCUGG